rnacentral:tRNA from 1 species
GCGGUCGUGGCGGAAUUGGCAGACGCGCAAGAUUCAGGUUCUUGUGGUGGCAACACCGUGGGGGUUCAAGUCCCUUCGACCGCA